UACGUAGGUGGCGAGCGUUGUCCGGAUUUACUGGGCGUAAAGGGCGUGCAGGCGGCCCGUUAAGUGCAUGGUGAAAGCUCCCGGCUCAACUGGGAGAGGUCUGUGUAUACUGGCGGGCUUGAGGGGGGUAGAGGAAAGUGGAAUUCCCGGUGUAGUGGUGAUAUGCGCAGAUAUCAGGAAGAACACCCGUGGCGAAGGCGGCUCUCUGGGACGGUACUGACGCUGAGACGCGAAAGCGUGGGGAGCGAACAGG
rnacentral:rRNA from 1 species